rnacentral:lncRNA from 1 species
UUGGCUACCUCGACUUGGCAGGCUAUACUCUUUCUGAUUCGGCUGCCACCAAUUGGGUCGUCUUGAGUGUGGGUUCGGCGUCCCUAGUGACAGAUCUUAGGAUUUGGGUACAAGGCAUUAGAUCCUUCGACUUCAAACUUCUUCGUCUCCAUUAUCUUCCCCGAGAAUGAAUACUGGAGCUUCAGCCGAUCAGGCGGUAAACACCGUUACUUCGCCGUUGGCACCUUGGCGCUUGCACCGGCGCCUACGGUCGCUUCGCCCGAUCAGCCUUCUGGGUCUCAACCUCGGGCUGUCCCUAUUCCUACUGCCGUGGAUCCGGCACCGCUUCCUUUUAUUCCGCUUUUUUUCCCUUUGCCGGUCAACGGUGACACUACAAUGUCCGAUUCACAGCCGGGCACUGUUACUCGGCGCCUGCACCCCCUCGAUCCUCCGCAGCCCGACAGACGUCGCCUUGUUUCAGUGGACGCUGCGGCAAAGGUGCAAUUGAGUUUGCCCGACUACAUUUCUUUCCUGGUCGACGAUUUGGUUGCCUACCUCGACUUGGCAGGCGCCACCAAUUGGGUCGUCUUGAGUGUGGGUCCGGCGUCCCUAGUGACAGAUCUUAGGAUUUGGGUACAAGGCAUUAGAUCCAUCGACUUCAAACUUCUUCGUCUCCAUUAUCUUCCCCGAGAAUGAAUACUGGAGCUUCAGCCGAUCAGGCGGUAAACACCGUUACUUCGCCGUUGGCGCCUUGGCGCUUGCACCAGCGCCUACGGUCGCUUCGCCCGAUCAGCCUUCUGGGUCUCAACCUCGGGCUGUCCCUAUUCCUACUGCCGUGGAUCCGGCACCGCUUCCUUCGCCGGUCAACGGUGACACUACAAUGUCCGAUUCACAGCCGGGCACUGUUACUCGGUGCCUGCACCCCUUCGAUCCUCCGCAGCCCGACAGACGUCGCCUUGUUUCAGUGGACGCUGCGGCAAAGGUGCAAUUGAGUUUGCCCGACUACAUUUCUUUCCUGGUCGACGAUUUGGUUGCCUACCUCGACUUGGCAGGCGCCACCAAUUGGGUCGUCUUGAGCGUGGGUCCGGCGUCCCUAGUGACAGAUCUUAGGAUUUGGGUACAAGGCAUUAGAUCCAUCGACUUCAAACUUCUUCGUCUCCAUUAUCUUCCCCGAGAAUGAAUACUGGAGCUUCAGCCGAUCAGGCGGUAAACACCGUUACUUCGCCGUUGGCGGCCUUGGCACUUGCACCGGCGCCUACGGUCGCUUCGCCCGAUCAGCCUUCUGGGUCUCAACCUCGGGCUGUCCCUAUUCCUACUGCCGUGGAUCCGGCACCGCUUCCUUUUAUUCCGCUUUUUUUCCCUUUGCCGGUCAACGGUGACACUACAAUGUCCGAUUCACAGCCGGGCACUGUUACUCGGCGCCUGCACCCCCUCGAUCCUCCGCAGCCCGACAGACGUCGCCUUGUUUCAGUGGACGCUGCGGCAAAGGUGCAAUUGAGUUUGCCCGACUACAUUUCUUUCCUGGUCGACGAUUUGGUUGGCUACCUCGACUUGGCAGGCUAUACUCUUUCUGAUUCGGCUGCCACCAAUUGGGUCGUCUUGAGUGUGGGUCCGGUGUCCCUAGUGACAGAUCUUAGGAUUUGGGUACAAGGCAUUAGAUCCUUCGACUUCAAACUUCUUCGUCUCCAUUAUCUUCCCCGAGAAUGAAUACUGGAGCUUCAGCCGAUCAGGCGGUAAACACCGUUACUUCGCCGUUGGCACCUUGGCGCUUGCACCAGCGCCUACGGUCGCUUCGCCCGAUCAGCCUUCUGGGUCUCAACCUCGGGCUGUCCCUAUUCCUACUGCCGUGGAUCCGGCACCGCUUCCUUCGCCGGUCAACGGUGACACUACAAUGUCCGAUUCACAGCCGGGCACUGUUACUCGGUGCCUGCACCCCUUCGAUCCUCCGCAGCCCGACAGACGUCGCCUUGUUUCAGUGGACGCUGCGGCAAAGGUGCAAUUGAGUUUGCCCGACUACAUUUCUUUCCUGGUCGACGAUUUGGUUGCCUACCUCGACUUGGCAGGCGCCACCAAUUGGGUCGUCUUGAGUGUGGGUCCGGCGUCCCUAGUGACAGAUCUUAGGAUUUGGGUACAAGGCAUUAGAUCCAUCGACUUCAAACUUCUUCGUCUCCAUUAUCUUCCCCGAGAAUGAAUACUGGAGCUUCAGCCGAUCAGGCGGUAAACACCGUUACUUCGCCGUUGGCGGCCUUGGCACUUGCACCGGCGCCUACGGUCGCUUCGCCCGAUCAGCCUUCUGGGUCUCAACCUCGGGCUGUCCCUAUUCCUACUGCCGUGGAUCCGGCACCGCUUCCUUUUAUUCCGCUUUUUUUUUCUUUGCCGGUCAACGGUGACACUACAAUGUCCGAUUCACAGCCGGGCACUGUUACUCGGCGCCUGCACCCCCUCGAUCCUCCGCAGCCCGACAGACGUCGCCUUGUUUCAGUGGACGCUGAGGCAAAGGUGCAAUUGAGUUUGCCCGACUACAUUUCUUUCCUGGUCGACGAUUUGGUUGGCUACCUCGACUUGGCAGGCUAUACUCUUUCUGAUUCGGCUGCCACCAAUUGGGUCGUCUUGAGUGUGGGUCCGGCGUCCCUAGUGACAGAUCUUAGGAUUUGGGUACAAGGCAUUAGAUCCAUCGACUUCAAACUUCUUCGUCUCCAUUAUCUUCCCCGAGAAUGAAUACUGGAGCUUCAGCCGAUCAGGCGGUAAACACCGUUACUUCGCUGUUGGCGGCCUUGGCGCUUGCACCAGCGCCUACGGUCGCUUCGCCCGAUCAGCCUUCUGGGUCUCAACCUCGGGCUGUCCCUAUUCCUACUGCCGUGGAUCCGGCACCGCUUCCUUUUAUUCCGCUUUUUUUUCCUUUGCCGGUCAACGGUGACACUACAAUGUCCGAUUCACAGCCGGGCACUGUUACUCGGCGCCUGCACCCCCUCGAUCCUCCGCAGCCCGACAGACGUCGCCUUGUUUCAGUGGACGCUGCGGCAAAAGUGCAAUUGAGUUUGCCCGACUACAUUUCUUUCCUGGUCGACGAUUUGGUUGGCUACCUCGGCUUGGCAGGCUAUACUCUUUCUGAUUCGGCUGCCACCAAUUGGGUCGUCUUGAGUGUGGGUCCGGUGUCCCUAGUGACAGAUCUUAGGAUUUGGGUACAAGGCAUUAGAUCCAUCGACUUCAAACUUCUUCGUCUCCAUUAUCUUCCCCGAGAAUGAAUACUGGAGCUUCAGCCGAUCAGGCGGUAAACACCGUUACUUCGCUGUUGGCGGCCUUGGCGCUUGCACCAGCGCCUACGGUCGCUUCGCCCGAUCAGCCUUCUGGGUCUCAACCUCGGGCUGUCCCUAUUCCUACUGCCGUGGAUCCGGCACCGCUUCCUUUUCCGCUUUUUUUCCUUUGCCGGUCAACGGUGACACUACAAUGUCCGAUUCACAGCCGGGCACUGUUACUCGGCGCCUGCACCCCCUCGAUCCUCCGCAGCCCGACAGACGUCGCCUUGUUUCAGUGGACGCUGCGGCAAAAGUGCAAUUGAGUUUGCCCGACUACAUUUCUUUCCUGGUCGACGAUUUGGUUGGCUACCUCGGCUUGGCAGGCUAUACUCUUUCUGAUUCGGCUGCCACCAAUUGGGUCGUCUUGAGUGUGGGUCCGGUGUCCCUAGUGACAGAUCUUAGGAUUUGGGUACAAGGCAUUAGAUCCAUCGACUUCAAACUUCUUCGUCUCCAUUAUCUUCCCCGAGAAUGAAUACUGGAGCUUCAGCCGAUCAGGCGGUAAACACCGUUACUUCGCCGUUGGCGGCCUUGGCGCUUGCACCAGCGCCUACGGUCGCUUCGCCCGAUCAGCCUUCUGGGUCUCAACCUCGGGCUGUCCCUAUUCCUACUGCCGUAGAUCCGGCACCGCUUCCUUCGCCGGUCAACGGUGACACUACAAUGUCCGAUUCACAGCCGGGCACUGUUACUCUGUGCCUGCACCCCUUCGAUCCUCCGCAGCCCGACAGACGUCGCCUUGUUUCAGUGGACGCUGCGGCCAAGGUGCAAUUGAGUUUGCCCGACUACAUUUCUUUCCUGGUCGACGAUUUGGUUGGCUACCUCGACUUGGCAGGCUAUACUCUUUCUGAUUCGGCUGCCACCAAUUGGGUCGUCUUGAGUGUGGGUCCAGCGUCCCUAGUGACAGAUCUUAGGAUUUGGGUACAAGGCAUUAGAUCCAUCGACUUCAAACUUCUUCAUCUCCAUUAUCUUCCCCGAGAAUGAAUACUGGAGCUUCAGCCGAUCAGGCAGUAAACACCGUUACUUCACCGUUGGCGGCCUUGGUGCUUGCACAGGCGCCUACGGUCGCUUCGCCCGAUCAGCCUGUCUCAACCUCGGGCUGUCUCAGCCUUCUGGGUCUCAACCUCGGGCUGUCCCUAUUCCUACUGCCGUGGAUCCGGCACCGCUUCCUUCGCCGGUCA